ensembl:lncRNA
UUUUGAUCUCCUCCAUACCUGCUUCAUGCCCUGGAGGACGGGGCUGUGGCCCCCCCACACCCUCUAGCAGAUCAUUACAUGAAGGAACCUUUUAAAAAAACAAGCGCGUCCAUUUACCGGUCGAUCUACGUCCCUACCCUCACCUAUGGUCACGAGCUGUGGGUAGUGACCGAAAGAACGAGAUCGCGGAUGCAAGCGGCAGAAAUGAGCUUCCUCCGAAGGGUGGAUGGCCUCUCCCUUAGAGAUAGGGUGAGAAGUUCGGCCAUCCGGGAGGGGCUCAGAGUAGAGCAGCUGCUGCUCCACAUCGAAAGGAGCCAGCUGAGGUGGUUCGGGCAUCUGACAAGGAUGCCCCCUGGGCAUGUCCCACCGGGAGGAGGCCCCGGGGCAGACCCAGGACACGCUGGAGAGAUUAUAUCUCUCGGCUGGCCUGGGAACGCCUUGGUGUUCCCCCGGAUAAGCUGGAGGAGGUGGCUGGGGAGAGGGAGGUCUGGGCCUCUUUGCUUAGGCUGCUGCCCCCGCGACCCGGCUCCGGAUAAAGCGGAUGAAGAUGGAUGGAUGGAAGCGCGUCCAUGCUCACAGUGACCCUCCCCCCGCGCACCUGCACUGCAGCUCUCAAACUUUUGCAGGGCAUGUGACGUCAUUCAGUCCACAGUCGGAGUAGCCGUUUAAGUGGAGCUCUGAAGACUGCAAAGCACGCUUUCUGCAGGUGAAGGAAGCCACGGCAGCAAGCCAAAUACAGACGAUAACGUGGCGCUCGCAUGCAGUGAUAAUGGCUGUUCUGAUAGUGGUGUUUUUUGUGACUCCAGAUGGCUAAUAUUUGACAUAGCAGCUACUCCGUGUCCCCCAGAGAAAUGAAAAAGGAGGAGGCAGUGAGAUGGAUGAAGGUGGAAGUUCUGAGCAUUUCUCCUCUCAAAAGAGACCGGAGCCCACCAGUGAAGAGAGUUCAGAUGUAGAUGAAGAGAGCAAGGAAGCAAGACUGGCUUUGAGGAAAAGGCGAAAAACCAAAGUGGCCAAAGCAAAGGAGAUCCCCCGUGCGAAGGUCAAGAGGCCAUGGAGUGAAGCAGAGAAGACGGCAGUGCAAAGACGGCUGGGAAUUAUGUAGGAAGCAGGAAGGUCAUACUGGUACAGUUGUAGCCAUCCUAAGCUUUACUGAUUUUUCUUUUUGGCAGAAGUCAAAACAAACCGAUCAAAGUUAUUGAUCACUAUUUUAGUUGUAAGUCAUUAGACUUAAUAGUUGUCUUCAUUGUUAUAAUAGCAAUUAUUAUUCCUCUGGAAGGAUGUUACAUUGUGAAAUAAACUGAAUUUGCUCUUGUUGCAGCAUUGUGGGAAUUUCCUUGGUAAUUAUUAAUAAAAUCUACAGCGGUAUUUGAAAUGUAAUACUACCUUUUGUUAUGUAGGGUUGUCUUGAUAGAUUAUCAGAACUUUUUAGUUAUUCUAUUUAUGUAUAAAGUUGAGACUGUUUAACUUUAACAUUAUUUGGUUGCACUAAAAUAGAAAAUGUCAAGGAGUGAAUGCAAACAGAAAAAAACAUAUAGACAGAAACGAACACAAAAGCACCCCCUGGUGGAAAAUCACCUGAAUAGCACUCAAUGACAAGGUCCUCAUUCUGAUAGUAGAAUGAGAUUUUUUUUUUACUUGAGUGUUUUAAGAUUUUGAGGUGAUUUUUGGUGUUAGAGAGCCACCCAGUGUUCAAAAAUGGCAAAGGUUUGUCUGCAAGUGUAGCAGAAAUGGUGGUCCUCACUUUGAUAGUACACUUACCCGGUCCUCAGUCGUUAUGCAAGACAGGAAUGUGUGUGUGUGUGUGUGUGUAUGUA